UGGGGAAUCUUGCACAAUGGGGGCAACCCUGAUGCAGCGACGCCGCGUGAGCGAUGAAGCCCUUCGGGGCGUAAAGCUCUUUCGACCGGAACGAUAAUGACGGUACCGGGAGAAGAAGCUGCGGCUAACUACGUGCCAGCAUCCGCGGUAAUACGUAGGCAGCAAGCGUUGUUCGGAGUUACUGGGCGUAAAGAGUGCGUAGGCGGUUUUCUAAGUUCGGUGUGAAAUCUCCCGGCUUAACUGGGAGGGUGCGCCGAAGACUGGGAAGCUGGAGUGUGGGAAAGGCAGGCGGAAUUCCUGGUGUAGCGGCGAAAUGCGUAGAUAUCAGGAGGAACACCGGCGGUGUAGACAGCUUGCUAGACCAUAACUGACGCUGAGGCACGAAAGCGUGGGUAGCAAACA
rnacentral:rRNA from 1 species